GCAGGCAGCGCGGGCAGGAGCGAGACCGCGCAGACUGCGUCUUCUCCACGAACCCUAGCCGCGUCCUCGUCUCCUCCAUUCGCGCGCCUCGGCGGUGACCCCAUGGCGGGCUGCCGGGUCGGAGCGGUCCCCCGCGUCCCUCCUUCCCCGCUCGGCGCUCUCUACUCCCAGCGCAGCUGCCGCCUCCCUCCGCUCUUCCCAUCUCGCCAGAGCCGCCGCACCCGGAGGCGACCGGCGUUGCUCCGUCUCGAGCUGCCCGUUCCCUUCUCUCCCCCGACGACCGACGCAGGAGAGAGAAAGAGGAGAGGGAGGUGUGGCGGCGGACGGGAGAGGGUCGACCUCGCGGUCGGUGGCUGCUUGAUCUGAGAGAAAGAGGAGAGGGAGGUGUGGCGGCAGACGGUGGAGGGCCAACCUCGCGGUCAGUGGCGGCUAGGAUCACCGGUGCUGAUUUGCUCCUUCAUCUUCUGUUGUGCGUUUGCUCACUGUGUUUGUUCCUAGGUCGGCACCGUUGUUGUCACCGGGCAGAAUGGCCAUGGGCAGGCUCAGGAAUGAAUGUUCUAGGGUUGGAGCCGAGGGGGUUGAGCAGCAGCUGAGCUUAGGCAUGAAUUUACAGAUUCAAGAUUUUCUUACACAUGGGGCUUUGCAAGUUCAUUGUCUCACACAUCCUUUAUGUUGCAGUAUUUUGUUUGGCGGAGGUUGUCCGAUCUAGAAGUUCAGAGCGACCAAUGCAAGGAGGACCAAGAUCUGAGAUGGAUCAGUUGAGGGUCGAAUGCUUCAAUGGUUCCAGAAAGCUUCAUCCACAAUCAUGACAAAUAUUUCCAUUGAUGUCACAAAGCAUACCAAGAAUUUGAAUUGAGCUUUGCUCUCCAAGUGCAGAACAAUUUCCCACUCCCCAUCGAUGAUGAUCUUCUGGGCAGCUCUUUUAGCACCACACAAGCUAUUCCGAAAGGUCAUUAAGCUUAUUGUAGUGCCAACUUCUGUAAAGAUGCUUGUCCUGUUUACAGUAUGCUCCCUUUGACAAAUCAACAGAAGUGUACAAAUUCAUUUGAAUGGAUUCGCAAGGUAUUUUCAUUAGCAAUGCCACAAGGCAUCAGAAAGCACAAGUAACGAGAACAAUUAGUUCAGUUUGCAUACCAUAGUUUUACUCAUCCUAAAUUGUGUUAAAUUAAUCUGCUACAGUAUGAUGAUAACAGAGGGGCACUAUUUUUUUAUUGUUCCAAUUAUAUAGGGCCCUCUGCAAAGAUAUUGAUAUCAUUGGGUGUAGAUGUUUAGUUGGACAAAUAUUGUUCGUCAGUUUCUUAGUGCGUGCCUAGGUGUUUCCCCCUUUUACGUUGCUUCAUUUUUAUAGGAUUUCUUGAAAUAUAAUAACUUGCUUCAACAAUUGUAGAAUGAUCAUGGUUUCUUUGCAUUCCUAUACUUUCGUACGAUUAAAAAUUUCAUGGCUAUCCUGGUCCCGGGUAAGAAACAGACAUCAUUGGCAUUAGCCAAUGCAUUUGCGUUAAAUGCCCUCCUGGUCGUUCUUCUUUAGUGGGUGUUUGUAUUUUCCAAAAAGAAGUUGGUGCACCUCAUAGUUGUUUCGUAGCAUGACUAUUAUGUCUAGAUUUUGCUGUAUAAUACAAAACUAAGUAGUUCGCUAUAUCAGCUGGCUAUGUGUGUCGCUUCAUAGUUUAAAACUUUAGCUACAAGCCUACAAUCAUUAGUACCGUUCAGUUUAUUUUUUAUGGAAAAACAGGGUAGAGCUCUAACGACUACUCUCAGGCUAUCUACGAGAGCCAACAGCCAAGAUUAUCUUUUAAGUAGAUCCCGUAUCUUUGAACAACGGAUUCUGAUUCUGUUAGAGAUGUUUCAAUGCAUUUUUUAUCAGUUGCGCUACUACAUUUUACUACUGAUUUGAGCUGCCUUAUUCCCAGAUAGUGAAUAUCUAAAUUAUUGACAUUCACUAAAAUAAAUACACAAGAGUUGUAUUAAAGGAAACCACUUAUCUUUUUAAUUACAAAUUAGAAAUGCAGAUGCAGUUGACCAAUGUUUAGCAUCCUAACAAUGUUCAGGUUGCACAUGCAUACCAGAACACUGAGGGGUGGUCUUACAAAUGACAACUACUUUCAUGUUAGUAAUUUCUUCUGUUUGAGAUAUUCCACGACCCUGCUUUGCUAGCUCCAGUCAUUCAAUUUAUCAUUAUAUCCACCAUAUUUUUAUGCUCUGCAUUCCUAAUCUGCCGGUCACAAGAAACUGUAGUAUAAUGUUAGGUCGCACAUUCUUUUUGUUUCAUGGUUCAGUAGAGGUCUCACGGUGAGCAGCAACACUAGGUUGCAGUAUAAUGUCAGCUAAUUGCAACAUCCUGAGUUAUUUUAUCAAAGUUUUUCAUCUGGAAGCUCGAAUAUCUUUUGACUUUCAGUACACAUCUAUUCCGAUUUGGUAGAGAAGAUCAGAAGAAGCUUUUAUAUCAUAUUUUUGUGUGCUUUUUCUGUAGAAAAAUUACCAUGGGUUGAUGGUUUUGAAUCCAAUUACUAUAUGAUGUAAUUGACUGCUAUUCCUAAGAAUUGCUCCUGGACACAGUGCUCAAUCUUAUCAUGUCUCACAUACUAUUGUGCUGCCUAUCUGUAUAGUUACUCGGAUCAUUUCUACAGAUGAAAAUGUUCAUACAGAAGAAAAUUUUCAUCUGUGCUCCUGGACAUUUUUGCAAGCUUUGCUCUCCAAGUGCAGAACAAUUUCUAUCUGAACACCCAUCAUUAGUGCGACAGGUCAAGGCUUAUCUUGUGGUGUGUCGGCAGCGCGACUGUACGCCACUGUUACUAGGUUGUUUCAUUUCUACAGCAACACAGGCAAUGCUUAUGUAUUGCACAUAUUUUUAUUUCUUUUGAUUUUGCCUUGGUUGUUAUUUAUGCCUAUAGCCUCAUGUAUGGGAUCCUAUUUCAGGGCACCGUUUUCAAUGGUUAGUUGAGGUGCUUCUGGUUUUCUGAAUGAGUACAUAGAUCUUCUUUUUAAAUAGCACGGAUAGAGGACCAGAAAAGAGAUACUUUUCUUGUUGGUGCACUUGCAAGUAUAUGCGGAUCUGUACCUUAGAUUUCCUUGCCUUUGGCUGGCUGUCCUUUUCUUUUGCUAGGCCAUCAAAUUGCUUUCAACUCGAGCGGGAUUUGUUGCAACCUCCUAUUUGUGACGUGGUGCCGCCAAAGGCAGUAUCUUCUAUGCACGUUGGUAUGUACAUGAGAUGGGGGAAAUCAUGUUUUUAAGAGAGUGAGAUGUGGAAGGCAGGCUGACUACAUAGUAAUUGUUAGUACUCUUUGAUGAUAGAGAAGUGAAGAUCUUGUUGUUACUGCAAACUCAGGCUAUGUUGUUGACAAUGACAUCAGGGGACAUGUAUAUUGAACAUGUGUUGAUCCACUAAUGGCAAAUCAGCUACCAGCUGGCUAUCAAGACUUUGCUUAGGUGUUAUUAGCCGCUACAUCCUCCGCUUCAUUGAGCCUCGACCCCCCACUCUUCUGAGGUUUCGUCAGGUUCGAUAAUGUCUUCUCUCCAAUCUUGUUCCCUUCCCAGCUUCCACCUAUCUUCAUGAGCAAGUGUAGCUCCAUCCAUGACAAAGAGAAUUGUUUUGUUGGACUACGACUGGAUUGAAGUUGCUAGCCUGAAUGCAAAUUUCCUUGAGAUGGUUCAUCACCAAAAUCCUUAAGAGAUGUUCGAAGAACACGACAACUGUUCGUCACCUAAAAGGACAGGAUGACACCAAAGGAGUUAUGAUAGCAGCACUUAUAGGCAUUGAGGAAUUGGCAAAGAGAUUACGCUUCAUAGGUAUGAAGUUAGAACAACGGCUGGAACUAUGAAAGGCCGUUUCUAAUUACCUUUGUUGGAUCUGUCUUACCUACAAUGCAUGUGUGACCCUUGGAGAAGCCACUUUUUGUUUCGUCUGCAGUAUACUCCAUGUUUAGUUCCAAUGAUGCCCUAACCCUUUUGUUCCUGCUCUGAAGAAUAGGACAUGUAUAGGCUUCAGAUUUUUGUAAUCAUCUAUGUGCUAAACAUCCCUUUGUGGUCAUGUGUUCUUUAUGUAAUCAAGUAUCUAUUCAUGAUGAUAUAUAUGCCCAGCUAAUGUUUGAAAAGAUC